UACAGAGGGUGCGAGCGUUAAUCGGAAUUACUGGGCGUAAAGCGCGCGUAGGCGGCUUUGCAAGUCGGAUGUGAAAUCCCCAGGCUUAACCUGGGAACUGCAUCCGAUACUGGAUGGCUUGAAUCCGGGAGAGGGAUGCAGAAUUCCAGGUGUAGCGGUGAAAUGCGUAGAUAUCUGGAGGAAUACCGGUGGCGAAGGCGGCAUCCUGGACCGGCAUUGACGCUGAGGAGCGAAAGCUAGGGGAGCAAACGGG
rnacentral:rRNA from 1 species